UACAGAGGGGGCAAGCGUUGUUCGGAAUUACUGGGCGUAAAGGGCGCGUAGGCGGCCAUCUAAGUCAGACGUGAAAUCCCCCGGCUUAACCUGGGAACUGCGUCUGAUACUGGACGGCUGGAGUUUGGGAGAGGGAUGUAGAAUUCCAGGUGUAGCGGUGAAAUGCGUAGAUAUCUGGAGGAAUACCGGUGGCGAAGGCGGCAUCCUGGACCAAUACUGACGCUGAGGCGCGAAAGCUAGGGGAGCAAACGGG
rnacentral:rRNA from 1 species